UACAGAGGUCUCAAGCGUUGUUCGGAUUCAUUGGGCGUAAAGCGCGUGUAGGCGGCCAGAUAAGUCCGCUGUGAAAUCUCGAGGCUCAACUUCGAGCUGUCGGUGGAAACUGUCUGGCUAGAGUCCGGAAGAGGAGAAUGGAAUUCCUGGUGUAGCGGUGAAAUGCGCAGAUAUCAGGAAGAACACCCGUGGCGAAGGCGGUUCUCUGGGACGGUACUGACGCUGAGACGCGAAAGCGUGGGGAGCAAACGGG
rnacentral:rRNA from 1 species